rnacentral:rRNA from 1 species
UACGUAGGGGCCUAGCGUUGUCCGGAAUUAUUGGGCGUAAAGAGCUCGUAGGCGGUUCGGCAAGCCGGAUGUGAAAUCUCCACGCUUAACGUGGAGGGGCCAUUCGAAACUGCUGUGACUCGAGUCCGGUAGGGGAGUGUGGAAUUCCCGGUGUAGCGGUGAAAUGCGCAGAUAUCGGGAGGAACACCAGUAGCGAAGGCGGCACUCUGGGCCGGUACUGACGCUGAGGAGCGAAAGCGUGGGGAGCGAACAGG